AUUGAACGCUGGCGGCAGGCCUAACACAUGCAAGUCGAACGAGAGGCGGACGGGAGAGUAAUGUCUGGGGAAAUGACCGAUGGAGGGGGACAACAACUGGAAACUGUAGCUAAGACCGCACAGCACAGGAUGUGCCCAGAUUGGAUUAUCUUGUGGGUGGGGUAAAGGCUCACCUAGGCCAAGAACCUUAGCUGGUCUGAGAGGAAGACCAGCCACACUGGGACAGAGACACGGUCCAGACGCCUACGGGAGGCAGCAGUGGGGAAUUUUGGACAAUGGGCGCAAGCCUGAUACAGCCAGACCGCGUGUAAGAAGAAGGCCUUCGGGUUGUAAAGAACUUUCUGCAGGAAAGCGUUACCUUCAGAAGAAGCACCGGCUAACUCCGUGCCAGCAGCCGCGGUAAUUC
rnacentral:rRNA from 1 species